rnacentral:rRNA from 1 species
AUUGAACGCUGGCGGCAUGCCUUACACAUGCAAGUCGAACGGCAGCACGGGUGCUUGCCCCUGGUGGCGAGUGGCGAACGGGUGAGUAAUACAUCGGAACAUGUCCUGUAGUGGGGGAUAGCCCGGCGAAAGCCGGAUUAAUACCGCAUACGAUCCACGGAUGAAAGCGGGGGACCUUCGGUCUUCGCGCUAUAGGGUUGGCCGAUGGCUGAUUAGCUAGUUGGUGGGGUAAAGGCCUACCAAGGCGACGAUCAGUAGCUGGUCUGAGAGGACGACCAGCCACACUGGGACUGAGACACGGCCCAGACUCCUACGGGAGGCAGCAGUGGGGAAUUUUGGACAAUGGGCGAAAGCCUGAUCCAGCAAUGCCGCGUGUGUGAAGAAGGCCUUCGGGUUGUAAAGCACUUUUGUCCGGAAAGAAAUCCUUGACUCUAAUACAGUCGGGGGAUGACGGUACCGGAAGAAUAAGCACCGGCUAACUACGUG